rnacentral:rRNA from 1 species
CCCUUAGAUGUUCUGGGCCGCACGCGCGCUACACUGAUGCAUUCAACGAGCCUAUCCUUGACCAACAGGUCCGGGUAAUCUUUGAAUCUGCAUCGUGACGGGGAUAGAUUAUUGCAAUUAUUAAUCUUCAACGAGGAAUGCCUAGUAGGCGCAAGUCAUCAGCUUGCGUCGAUUACGUCCCUGCCCUUUGUACACACCGCCCGUCGCUCCUACCGAUUGGGUGUGCUGGUGAAAUGUUCGGAUCGGCCGUUUGUCGCGGUUUCCGCGUCAUGUGGCUGAGAAGUUCAUUAAACCCUCCCACCGAGAGGAAGGAGAAGUCGUAACA